rnacentral:rRNA from 1 species
CCUACGGGGGUCAGCAGUGAGGAAUAUUGGUCAAUGGCCGGAAGGCUGAACCAGCCAAGCCGCGUGAGGGAGGAAUGCGCAGAGCGUCGCAGACCUCUUUUGCCGGGGGACAAAAGGUCGUACGGGUCCCGUUCUGAGGGUACCCGGAGAAUAAGCAUCGGCUAACUCCGUGCCAGCAGCCGCGGUAAUACGGAGGAUGCGAGCGUUAUCCGGAUUCAUUGGGUUUAAAGGGUGCGCAGGCGGGCCUUUAAGCCGGCGGUGAAAUCGCGGGGCUCAACCCCGCUGAGCCGUCGGAACUGGGAGCCUUGAGUGCAGCGGAGGUAUGCGGAAUGCGCGGUGUAGCGGUGAAAUGCAUAGAUAUGGCGCAGAACCCCGAUUGCGAAGGCAGCGUGCCGUGCCGCCACUGACGCUGAGGCACGAAAGCGCGGGGAUCGAACAGGAUUAGAUACCCGAGUAGUC